UACGUAGGGUGCAAGCGUUAAUCGGAAUUACUGGGCGUAAAGCGUGCGCAGGCGGUUUUGUAAGUCUGUCGUGAAAGCCCCGGGCUCAACCUGGGAAUUGCGAUGGAGACUGCAAGGCUUGAAUCUGGCAGAGGGGGGUAGAAUUCCACGUGUAGCAGUGAAAUGCGUAGAGAUGUGGAGGAACACCGAUGGCGAAGGCAGCCCCCUGGGCCAAUACUGACGCCUCAUGCACGAAAGCGUGGGGAGCAAACAGG
rnacentral:rRNA from 1 species